rnacentral:snRNA from 1 species
UUGCUCGCACAGCAUAUACACACAACUGUGGACUGAUGCAGAGAAGACGAGCAUGGUCCCAUCACAAAGAUAACAUGCAAACUCAUGAAGAGUUCCGUAUUUUC